GCGGCAGUUGACUACUGUCGC
rnacentral:misc_RNA from 1 species